GACGAACCGAGCGAACGUUGUUCGGAAUCACUGGGCUUAAAGGGCGCGUAGGCGGGUGCUCAAGUCUGUGGUGAAAUCCUCCAGCUUAACUGGAGAACUGCCAUGGAUACUGGGUGUCUCGAGGAACGUAGGGGUAUGCGGAACGAUUGGUGGAGCGGUGAAAUGCGUUGAUAUCAAUCGGAACUCCGGUGGCGAAGGCGGCAUACUGGACGUUAUCUGACGCUGAGGCGCGAAAGCUAGGGGAGCAAGCGGG
rnacentral:rRNA from 1 species